rnacentral:rRNA from 1 species
GCCGAACUGUCCUAACGUUGUUCGGAAUCACUGGGCUUAACGGGCGCGUAGGCGGUCCGACAAGUCAGGGGUGAAAUCCUGCAGCUUAACUGCAGAAGUGCCUUUGAUACUGUCGGUCUUGAGGGAGAUAGGGGUGUGCGGAACUCACAGUGGAGCGGUGAAAUGCGUUGAUAUUGUGAGGAACGCCGGAGGCGAAAGCGGCGCACUGGAUCUCUUCUGACGCUGAGGCGCGAAAGCUAGGGGAGCAAACGGG